AUCCAGCUGACGAGUCCCAAAUAGGACGACAUGCGAAUCCUGGAU
rnacentral:hammerhead_ribozyme from 1 species